rnacentral:lncRNA from 1 species
GCAGCAGAGACAACUCGAAACAUCAGUGACACACUUGGCCCAGGAGCUGCUAACACAGCGCAGGGGUGGAUCAAGAAGUCCUGCAAAGGAGACGAGGGCCUUGAAGACGAGGAGCACGGUGGGCGGCCAGCGGAGGCUGACCACAGCCAGCUGGGAAGAUCUUCGAGGCUGAUGCUCUUACAGCUACACAAGAAAUUUCCAAAGAACUCAAAGUCAACCUUUCUAUGGUGAUUUGGCACUUGAAACAAACUGGAAAGGUGAAAAGGCUCUGUAAAUGGGUGCCUUAUGAGCUGACUGCAAACAAAAACUCAAUUUCUCAAUCCAGUGCAACAGUGACGUGCAACAAAAAGUGGAUUUUACACAACAUGACCAGCUCAGUGGUUGGACUGAGAAGCUGCAAAGCACUUCCAAAGCCAAACUUGCACCAAAAGAAGGUCCUGGUCACUGUUUGGUGGUCUCCUGCCGGCCUGACCCACUACAGCUUUCUGAAUCCUGGUGAAACCAUUCCAUCCGAGAAGUACGCUCAGCAAAUCGGUGAGAUGCACCGAAGACGGCGAUGCCUGCAGCCGGCACUGGUCCUCAGAGAGGGCCCGAUUCUCUCCAUCCGACACUCGCCGCGUAGCGCAGAGUGGCCCACAUUCUUGCCUCAUCCACCACAUUCACCUGAACUCUCGCCAACCGACUAUCACUUCAAGCAUCGCGACAACUUCUUGCAGGGAAAACUCUUUCACAAUCAGCAGGAGGCAGAAAAUGCUUUCCCAGAGUUCACGGAAUCCCGAAGCACAGAUUUUUAUGCUCUGGGGAAUAAACAAAGUUACUUUUUGUUGGCAAAAAUGUGUUGAUUGUACUGGCUCCUAUUUUGAUUGA